AGGACUCACCAUCCACUUUUUGUUCAUCUUACAGGAAUGAGAGAAAUGAUACUUGGAGGCCAGGAGAGUGUGCCGGAUCCAUACAACUGGAGUCCAGAUGGCUGUGAGCUGCCUAACAUGGGCUCUAGGAAGUGAACCUAGGUCUUCCAUAUGAGCAAGAAGCUGAGGCUUGGCACCAUGAUGAGAGCCUAUGAGAGCUAUUGGUGUAGGUGCAGCCCAAUCGCAGCAGAAGCCCCCAGAUGGAGAUGCCAGUGUCGGGGGGUGACCACCAAGGACAGCAGCAGCAGUGGAGAGCGGCCAGCCUGAGCCCAGAGGACGGCUGUGUGUGCUGCUGGAGAAGCGGCCCACGCCCUUUGGAAGAGUCCAGAAGACGAUCUGGGGUCAGAGUCUUUGAAGUUACUAUUGUGACUGUCAAAAUGCCAUCACUGACAGGAGCACAGAAGACAUCGUGGAAAUGAUAUCAAAGGAUUAGCUGAGUCAAACAAACGAGACAGCACCAUUGCCUGCUGUAGAGGUGUCUCUUGUGAAAAGGAAAAGCCACCAAGACUUCCCUGCCAUCCGGGCUGUACCCUUAAAUGGUGGCCCAAAUGAACCCUCCCUUCCUGAAGUUGCUCAUGUCAGGUAUUUGAUCAAUAGGAUCACACUGCCAUGCUAUUUGAAGAAAUCACCACAGCCAACUCAAGCUUCGUCAACCACCGCCCUGAUAUGACAGUAGCCACUCUCACUGAGUCAAGAUUCCCACCUACAAAGGACUAGGACAUGUCAAGGGCUCA